rnacentral:pre_miRNA from 1 species
CCAUCUGCUGGUCUGAGGGGUAAAUUACUCUUAAAGAAAAAAAAAAGAAUCCUAGAUAGUUUGCCCUUCAAGUCAAGUGUCUUG